AAAAAUCCGGGGGGCUGAGCUGAGGCGUGAUGACGAGGAACCACGGUUCCGAAGUGAUUGAUACCAAGCUUCCAGGAAAAGCCACUAAGCUUCAGUCUAGAGUUGACCGUACCGCAAACCGACACGGGUGGGCAGGAUGAAAAUUCUAAGGCGCUUGAGAGAACUCAGGAGAAGGAACUCGGCAAAUUAACACCGUAACUUCGGGAGAAGGUGUGCCCCGGUAGCGUGUAGAGACUUGCUCUCGAAGCGCGAUGGGGUUGCAGUGAAAUGGUGGCUGCGACUGUUUAAUAAAAACACAGCACUCUGCAAACACGAAAGUGGACGUAUAGGGUGUGACGCCUGCCCGGUGCCGGAAGGUUAAGUGAUGGGGUGCAAGCUCUUGAUCGAAGCCCCGGUAAACGGCGGCCGUAACGAUAACGGUCCUAAGGUAGCGAAAUUCCUUGUCGGGUAAGUUCCGACCUGCACGAAUGGCGUAACGAUGGCCACACUGUCUCCUCCUGGGACUCAGCGAAGUUGAAAUGUUUGUGAAGAUGCAAUCUACCCGCGGCUAGACGGAAAGACCCAUGAACCUUUACUGUAGCUUUGCAUUGGACUUUGAACCGGUUUGUGUAGGAUAGGUGGGAGACUGUGAAGCCGGGACGCUAGUUUCGGUGGAGUCAACCUUGAAAUACCACCCUGAUUUGUUUGAGGUUCUAACCUUGGUCCGUGAAUCCGGGUCGGGGACCGUGCAUGGUAGGCAGUUUGACUGGGGCGGUCUCCUCCCAAAAGGUAACGGAGGAGUACGAAGGUACGCUUAGGGCGGUCGGACAUCGCCCACAAAGUGCAAUGGCAAAAGCGUGCUUGACUGCGAGACCCACAAGUCGAGCAGGUACGAAAGUAGGUCAUAGUGAUCCGGUGGUUCUGUAUGGAAGGGCCAUCGCUCAACGGAUAAAAGGUACUCUGGGGAUAACAGGCUAAUUCCUCCCAAGAGUUCAUAUCGACGGGGGAGUUUGGCACCUCGAUGUCGGCUCAUCACAUCCUGGGGCUGUAGUCGGUCCCAAGGGUAUGGCUGUUCGCCAUUUAAAGUGGUACGCGAGCUGGGUUUAAAACGUCGUGAGACAGUUUGGUCCCUAUCUGCCGUGGGCGCUGGAAAUUUGAAGGGGGCUGCUCCUAGUACGAGAGGACCGGAGUGGACGAACCUCUGGUGUACCGGUUAUGACGCCAGUCGUAUCGCCGGGUAGCUAAGUUCGGAAGAGAUAAACGCUGAAAGCAUCUAAGCGUGAAACUCGCCUUAAGAUAAGAUUUCCCGGAGUCUUGAACUCCCUGAAGGGCCGUCGAAGACCACGACGUUGAUAGGUCAGGUGUGGAAGCGCAGCAAUGCGUUAAGCUAACUGAUACUAAUUG
rnacentral:rRNA from 1 species